UACAGAGGGUGCAAGCGUUGUUCGGAAUUAUUGGGCGUACAGGGAGCGUAGGCGGUUGGAUAAGCCCUCCGUGAAAUCUCCAGGCUUAACCUGGAAAGUGCAGAGGGGACUGUUCAGCUAGAGGAUGGGAGAGGAGCGCGGAAUUCCCGGUGUAGCGGUGAAAUGCGUAGAGAUCGGGAGGAAGGCCGGUGGCGAAGGCGGCGCUCUGGAACAUUUCUGACGCUGAGGCUCGAAAGCGUGGGGAGCAAACAGG
rnacentral:rRNA from 1 species